rnacentral:rRNA from 1 species
UACGGAGGGUGCAAGCGUUAUCCGGAUUUACUGGGUUUAAAGGGUGCGUAGGUGGAUUAGUAAGUCAGUGGUGAAAUCUCCGAGCUUAGCUCGGAAACUGCCAUUGAUACUAUUAGUCUUGAAUAUUCUGGAGGUGAGCGGAAUAUGUCAUGUAGCGGUGAAAUGCUUAGAUAUGACAUAGAACACCAAUUGCGAAGGCAGCUCACUGCGGGAUUAUUGACACUGAGGCACGAAAGCGUGGGGAUCACACAGU